rnacentral:snoRNA from 14 species
ACGACCUUACUUGAACAGGAUCUGUUCUAUAGGAUUGUACUACUGUGUCCUUGAUUUCUAAGGAGAUAGGAACAUAUGUCUGGUAGAUGAGUUGUGACCGUGUGAUCAGAGCGUGAUUAACGGCCAGGAUGAUGUGUGCAUCAUCUUCAGCUGUAGAUGAUCGUUCUUGGCCUAGUUCAACUAACCGGGAUGGUCACAUGGUUGUCUGACAGAUU